AGUGAACGCUGGCGGUAGGCCUAACACAUGCAAGUCGAACGGCAGCACAGUAAGAGCCUGCUCUUACGGGUGGCGAGUGGCGGACGGGUGAGGAAUACAUCGGAAUCUACUUUUUCGUGGGGGAUAACGUAGGGAAACUUACGCUAAUACCGCAUACGACCUACGGGUGAAAGCAGGGGAUCUUCGGACCUUGCGCGAUUGAAUGAGCCGAUGUCGGAUUAGCUAGUUGGCGGGGUAAAGGCCCACCAAGGCGACGAUCCGUAGCUGGUCUGAGAGGAUGAUCAGCCACACUGGAACUGAGACACGGUCCAGACUCCUACGGGAGGAAGCAGUGGGGAAUAUUGGACAAUGGGCGCAAGCCUGAUCCAGCCAUACCGCGUGGGCGAAGAAGGCCUUCGGGUUGUAAAGCCCUUUUGUUGGGAAAGAAAAGCAGCAGGUUAAUACCCCGCUGUUCUGACGGUACCCAAAGAAUAAGCACCGGCUAACUUCGUG
rnacentral:rRNA from 1 species